AAGGGAAAAGGGAAGAGAAAUUUCCAUCAUCUUCUUCAUCCAAGCUUCAACCACCAUAGCCAAUUCCUUCACACCUCUUCAAUUUAUUCGGGUUUCAAGAAGAAUUUGGGGGAAAUCACUCAAAGACUCUUUCAAAGGAUUUUAGUAGCUAAUUGAGGUGGCGAUGAGAAUGUAGCUGGCCUAGAUGAAUGUGUAAUGGACAUUUCCGGAGAUGAUACAAAGCAUUGGAGACCUGAGUGCUACCAAUAAAUUCAACCUUUUGUUGGGCAUCGUUUUGAAAUAGUAGAACUUGGAAUUUAUUUCUAUAGAGCAUACGGUACCGUUGUUGGGUUUGAUGUCAGAAAUAGAACGAUGCAGAAAAAUAGAGACCACCAUGACAAUCGCAAUUGUCUAGACAAAACAGCACCAUCAGAAAACUAGACUACCAUGAGGGUUUAAAUAUGAAUAUACUUAUUAUAGAGUUGUUGCCUAUUUGUAGUGCGUACUAAAUAAACAACAAAUCUGUUUGUUUUCUAAAAUGACUUAUCAUUGAAUAAAGUAAAAGCUACAGUUCCU